UACAGAGACUGCAAGCGUUAUUCGGAUUCACUGGGCGUAAAGGGUGCGCAGGCGGCCAAGUGUGUGAGGCGUGAAAGCCCGGGGCUUAACCCCGGAAUUGCACCUCAAACUACAUGGCUAGAGCAUUGGAGAGGGUAGCGGAAUUCACGGUGUAGCAGUGAAAUGCGUAGAUAUCGUGAGGAACACCAGAGGCGAAGGCGGCUACCUGGACAAUUGCUGACGCUCAGGCACGAAAGCGUGGGGAGCAAAAAGGG
rnacentral:rRNA from 1 species